CCUUUGUUUGCACCGAAGCGUAUUCCUAGCGUGGAUUUUGAUCGCUAACGUCGGCGGCGUGCUUUCUUGAGCGAGGCGACGGUUGCUGUAGCGUGUUUGAACUUUUCAACAUGCUAAGCCUUUUCGCAAGUUGUUUUGUUGAAGUACACUCGUCGGUACGAGAGCCACGUGGUCUGCAUCCUGGGAGAGCGAGGCCUAGCGCCCGCGGAGCAUUGGCAAGCCUGAAGCGAGCGAGUACGGAAGCCUCGUGGGUGGUCCGAAUUUCUUAUGUAAAUAGCUUCUUCUAUCUCUUUGACUUCGGAAAAGUCGUGGCUCUGGGAGCCGGGUGGCCGCGGGCCACAGGUGCCGCUACGGGCUGUCUGGUAUUGCGACCUAGCACCGGGCGCUCCUACACUAACGGUGGACACCGUCAAUUCGGAUGCUCUGUGCACCGAGUGGGGUAGGACCACCUCACAGAGCUAACGUCUCCUCGCGGCUGCCUGUUCUUGUGUCUAUUUUAGGUGGUGUUUUUGGAUGCUAGUUGUCGUCAGGGUAGCGACAUAUUAGGCCUAAGGCUUUAUGAAGCCGCCUGUCGC